GCCAUGCCCUAGGUUCUCCGGUUCUGACCUACUGUACAUAUCUCCUCACCCUUCUGAGGUUCCAUUUUUAUCAACACUGCACAUGUCCUACUGUUGUCACUACACACACACACACAAACACACACACAGCUUGCUACCAUCCUCUAGAGCCUGCACACCACACCGGCCUGUACACUACACACAGGGCGCCCCCAUACAGAAUUCCCCAAAAGAGCUCCUUGACUCCCUCCCAGGAGGUGGGGCCUGAGAUCCCGCCCCCGGCAAGCUAAGAUGAGCUGACCUCAGGCUUCCCUGCCCCUUUUCUUCCCUCCCGCUGUCUUUCCCCAACGCCCACCCCCAGCUUCAGGAAACUUUUCAUCAGGUCCCUAAAAGGGGAAACCCGGGGUUCCUCGAGCUCUGCCCUACCCCCAGACUCACGCAAGCCGCCCCCCCUUCCCCAGCUGGGCUCUCGCCCCGCACCCAGUGGGGAAAGGUCACCGUAGGCAGUCCCCUGCCAGCACCCUGGGAGGAGGGAGCGUGGCAGUAACAGCUGUCACCAAGGGAUGGGAAAGGUGCCGGCCCUGUAUCGAGCCGGGAGUGCACAGGGGUCGGGGUGACGCGCCGGGGUGAGUCGAGAAGCCGAGGCGGCGGCAGCUGCAUCUCCGGAGUCUGGGGCGGCGGCCGCGCCCGGAGCUGUGGCGCGUGGAGCUGUCCGUUCAGCACCACCGCGCUGCACCCCUGCGCAGGGCCAAGCCGAGGCGCCCCGGCUCCGCUCCCGCUCCGGCUCCCGCAGGCGCCUGCGGCGCGGGCUGUUGUCUCUCUCGGGGGCUGAGGGCAAGCGAAGAGAGAGGGGGCUCUGCGAGCGGCGGGGCCACGCAGCCACCUGUGAGCCUCCCGCAACUGCGGGCGGCGGAGGCAUCUCCGGCCGGAGACAGGAGGAGACGCUUGGCGGACCCCGCCCGCCGACCCGCCGGGCGCACACACAGGCGCACACACAUUCGCACCCGCGCGCACACGCACAGCCAGCCGGCAGCGGCGACCGCAGCGAUGCUAACAAGCAGGUCGGGGAAGUUUCCCGCCGGCCUCCGCCGCGGGCCCCCAUGCUCGCAGGUGUAGCGCCCCCGCGCGGCACG
rnacentral:lncRNA from 1 species